AUUGAACGCUGGCGGCAGGCUUAACACAUGCAAGUCGAGCGGAGAGAGGUAGCUUGCUACUGAUCUUAGCGGCGGACGGGUGAGUAAUGCUUAGGAAUCUGCCUAUUAGUGGGGACAACAUUUCGAAAGGAAUGCUAAUACCGCAUACGUCCUACGGGAGAAAGCAGGGGAUCUUCGGACCUUGCGCUAAUAGAUGAGCCUAAGUCGGAUUAGCUAGUUGGUGGGGUAAAGGCCUACCAAGGCGACGAUCUGUAGCGGGUCUGAGAGGAUGAUCCGCCGCACUGGGACUGGGACGGGGCCCGGACGCCUACGGGAGGGAGCAGUGGGGAAUAUUGGACAAUGGGCGAAAGCCUGAUCCAGCCAUGCCGCGUGUGUGAAGAAGGUCUUCGGAUUGUAAAGCACUUUAAGUUGGGAGGAAGGGCAGUAAGUUAAUACCUUGCUGUUUUGACGUUACCGACAGAAUAAGCACCGGCUAACUCUGUGCCAGCAGCCGCCGCGGUAA
rnacentral:rRNA from 1 species